GCAUCCGUAGCUCAGCUGGAUAGAGUACUCGGCUACGAACCGAGAGGUCGGAGGUUCGAAUCCUUCCGGAUGCA
rnacentral:tRNA from 1 species